AUGUAUACUAUACCUCCGGGCUCUUGCCAUUUGUACCGCAUGCAUCAUCAACCCACCCCGGGACACCAGGAGGGCAGAUGUUGGGAGGGUGGAUUAGCAGUCGGGCGGCGUGGUGAGGCCGCACUUGGCCGGCAGCUCCAUGGCGCGCUUGGGGUCGAUGUUGUAGAGGCUGAGCCAGGGGGAGUUCUUGUAGGAGCAGAGGCACCGCAGGUCCGCCUUCCCCAGCGUCGCGCAGCACGCCUCCGACGGCGCCGGCUGUGGGUCCGUCGUCGCCGCCGCCGCCGGCUGGCACGCCAUGAAGUCGUCGUUGUCCAUGUCGCACACCGCCUGCGCCCCCACGGCGAGCGCCGCAGCGACGACGACGAGGAUGGCCAUCAGCGCCAGCGCCUGUCUGCUGUCGGCCAUGUCUCACAAGCUAGUACACCGAGCGCUGCUGCUUGCUGCUUAGCUUAG
rnacentral:rRNA from 1 species